UGCUUGCUUGAGCUGGGUGAUGUCAUUUCCUGGAUAAACUCAAGGAGUCAUUUUCUUCAAAUUCUUUUUCCAACACUUCCAAAAUGAGCAAGGAUUUUCUGCAUCAUCCUUUACUUUGAGGUUAGCAUGACUAAAACAUCUGUAACAGCAAAGGAAAUUUAAAGCUCAACAAAACCCAAAGGCAAGCACCAGCUGUCCACUCUUCAGGACCCAGGAGAAAUCUUUGCACUAGUCAAGCCUGUCAUGUGAUUCUGUAACUGGAAGGGCUGUGAGGUGAAUGCCAGAGUCAUCAAAUGUGAAAUCAGCUCAUCAUAUGCUAUGGAUAAUUUGAAUGUCAUGUCCCAAAGUUCAUCUGGGAGCUUCCUCACUCUGGAAGGAUUGGAAGGUGAAGGCCUUUGGGAAGUGGCAUUAGUGCCUUUAUGGGAGACCUCAGAGAGUUCUCUCACCUCUCUGUCAUGUGACAUAAGAGUGUGAAGAUGGGCAAGAAGGUCUUCUCCAGCCACAGACGCUGCCAAGGACUUGAUCUUUAAUUUACCAGCAUCCAGAACUAUGAGUGUUGCAUAUGUGGGUUUAUGGCAUGCAAACUAACCCAACAAAUGGAAGAAAUUGUGCAUCAUGUCAGAGAGCUUUCAGGAACAGAAUUUGGAACAAAGGAGCCAAUACUUGACACAUCCAUAAAAAUCAAAAGAGUGGUGAGAUAAUGGAUGAGAAAUGCUUCUUAACCCGAGAUGAAAGAGUCCUGCUCACCGAAUGUGUAAGUGAACGGUGCGGGGGUGUUCCUUAUCACCUUGUGUCUCCACUCUCCUCAAUAUGCACUUCUGGGUCAGUGGACACAUUGGACUAAUGGACAGAUGUUUAUUCCACAAUGCCCAGAGGGUUGAUCAAGAUUGAAUAUCCAUCAGCAGGACUGAGGAAGGCUUCUUAGAGGUAAUGUGGUGUGGUUUCGAUGAGCUGUAAAAGACUAAAAAUCCAGAAACUAAGAUAAUGAUACUUGUAGAGGGAGAAAAAGCAAGUUUAUAGUGUUCUGAUCGGUUACAAAGCUUUUUACAGAAGAACCUUUUUCCCAAGCUACCAAAAUUUCUGGAGUCACCAACUACAACAACUUCCCUGUUCCAUGAUUCCUGAAGAGUCUGAAAUAUUAGGGGAUUGUCACAGGUCUCUCUUGACUAAUGGCUCUUAUACUGAAGGAGGUCCCCUUCUUUGCUGUCUUUUUCUGCUGCUUGAAGUCCCUCGGGGAACUGUUUAUUGAAGUAUUCUGCUGCACUCCUGACAUUUAAGCAUCAUUGAAUCAAGACUCUGGCCUUCUGCAGUGCGUCCUUGCUGUUUGGUGUCCUUUCAUGCCUUAGGAUCUUCGUGCAUGAGGCAUUAUAGUGCCAGAAACUAGAAGUACUUCCAUUCCAGGCUAACGGCUUACACAAAGCCCACUUACCAGUUUUCAUUCAGAGUUUGCAGGACUGUGCAAAAGGGUGAGCUCCUUUUAGGAGUCAAGGUUAUAGUUCCCCAAAUGAUGUCUUAUGAUCCUGUGGCAUCCACAGAGACUCAAAAGGAUCAGUGUCACAUGGUAUGGAGCCUUGUUGAAUCAUGGAAAGAUCUCCUGGUUAUUAGUACAUGAAAUUAAAAAAAAAACAACCUAAAGACUUAGGUAUCAAGUUACCACAGUAACUAUAAGUCAUCCUAGUGAUCUGUGCAGCGUGGGACAGUGUGUGGCAUAAUUAUCUGUUGCAUGGAAGAUUGCAGGAGUACCAACCUGGGUAAGGACAAGCAGGGAUCUUCAGAUGGGGGACUGUGAUACUCUCAGAGGAGAAAGCAGACAUCCUUGCAGCUGAUGGGAAAAGUACUGCCUUAUGUGUCUCUCCAAUAGGAGAUAAAGGUCACUGACAUCAGGUGGAAGAGCUUUGUGGUGGGCUUCAGACCUUCAGGUUACUCACCUAUAAAAUGGGAUGAUAAGUCCUACAGGGCCAAAACAAAUAUCAAGCAAGGUCACUUCAGUUGUGAAAGCUUUCAGUUUAUGGAUAUUUUGGCAUGCUAUUUUAGAUGUGUGAGCCAACCUUCAUCUUCAUCAAGUAAGGGUGGAAGAUUUGGGGGGAAAGAAUGAACAUGUAUUGAGUAUAUAAUGCAUUCAUAAGGAAUGCCAUGUUAUCUACUACUUGUGAUAACCCAGUGAGGUGGGAGUCUAUGACUUAGAAAACUCGUUUGAAUCUCAAAGUGUUCAGAAGACAGUAAGUGAUGAAUCCGUGAUUUAAAUUCAAAUUGAUCUGAUACCCUAGCCUAUGUUCUGCUCUCUGAAACAUGAUACUUCCACCCCAUGGUAAGUGCAAAUUGGGUGAGAAGUGUCUAGAACUGUUGGCUUUUUCUACUUUUAGCAUUCAGUUGGUGGAACAUAAUUUUCGACCUGUUUUCAAGAGCCCGACGUGAGAAAAAGGUGUGGGAAAGCAUUACACCUAAUAUCUUGCAGCUAGUAAAACUCAUCUUCAAAUCAAUUCUUGUCCUUAGGAAGUUAGGCAACAACUAAUAUUUAUGUUUCACUAUUAGGAUUUUACUAAAUUCCAAUUUUAGGCUUCUUCGAAGAACUGAGGCAACUGAAUGACAGUUUUUCAUUUUAUAUCAUUUUAAAAAUAAAAUUGCAAGUCUUUAUUUUUCCAAAAGAUGGCCUUUCUUGUGUUUAAGGAAUAAAAGAACUACCCAUGGAUAUACAUAUAAAUGUAUGCAUGUUACAGAAGUUAAAGCAUUUAUUCCUGUAAUUCAAUUAGUUUGCCAAUAUAGCAAUAGACAGACAGACAGAUAGAUAGAUAGACAGACAGAUACACACACACACACACACACACACACACACACACACACACACACACAAAGACAUACAUACUUAACAUAUGAGGAGAGGGGAGAGAGGAAAAGAGAGAAAAAAGAGAGAAUUCUAUUCUGGAAGUAUUUCUGAGACACACUUAGAAAUAAUGUUUUACUGAUACCUGGGAAUUCCUUAGCCUUAUUAGUGUUGAUGCAAAAUUAGCGAUGUAUGCAUGGACAUAGAAUAUGAAUGUAUUUCAACAACACACACAAACACACACAUAUCUUCUGGCAUGUUAUGAUCUUUAAAGACCUAGGAAAAAAUGUAUUAGUCUAUGUCUUCAUAAUGUACAAAUCCAUCCCAUUUUGAAAGCAUGUGUUCGUCUACCUGUUAAUACUACAUCUGUCUCUAGUCAAAAUACUGCCGGGCUGAUGACCCUGCCCUCGUGGUUUGGUUAUGGGAUCAUCUGGAGACUCUUCAUGCGCAGGAUCCAUCCUAUUUCAUUUCAGAGGCACAAGAGGUGCAGCCCACUGCUAGGUAUGGUGUGUGAGAGAGAGUGGCUCCUCAACUUUAAAUGAAGAACACAUGGAGAUGAAGACUGGCCACAAAGAGCCAAAAUGAAGUCACUUCUGAGCCUCUCCACUUGCUCCUCAUGCCCCUGCACUCGGUAAGAAACAGAUACUAACUCUCCGAGUUCCAGCUAAGGGAUGAAGGUGCUAUGCCAAUGGUAAUCUUCAGCAUCUAACUUUUUGGUGAAGCUUCUAUUGUCUGUCAAGGCAGGAUCCAUAGAGGCUGCCACAGCCACUACCACUGACACACGCCUACACUGACGGAUGUCCCUGCAUCUCAUCACCAUCUUCCAUUUGUUAUCCCCUCUGGGAUGACACUGACAGCUUGUUUCUGAUGGAUCACUGAAUCGGAGCUGACAGCGUGGACCCCUUUCUACAUUGUGUAUCUUAAAAUACUUGAUUCUUUAUGAGUUAAUCAGCCAUCUGCCUGUAGCACAGAUCUUCCUUUCAAUCUCUUCCCUUGGAAAUGAACAACUUGAGUGGGUGGGUCUUGAGCCACACGGGGAGAGAAAUGAAUAGACUAGUGCUGAUGAUCCACCUCCCCUGUCCUCUGAGAAUCUGAAUGAGAACUCAAAGUUCAGACUUUACCGCCAUCACUAUCCAACACAAGCAUGUGUUUGCCUUCAUUAUCACCAUAAUCAAGCAUAACAGGUUUCCCAAGAUUCUACUACUGUGACUUCAAAGUCAUGAUGGGCUAUCACCCAGGGCUGUAAGCCAAAUAAACUAUUUCUCCCAUUUGUCAGAAUGGUUAACCAUAGCAGUAGGAAAAGAACCUAAGACAGAAAUUGGUCCCAAGAAGUGGGGCCACUGCUAUGACAAACUGGACCACAUCAAGGACCAUGAGGUCCUUUGGAAUUGGUUUGUGGGAGGAGUUUGGAAUUCAGAGCUAGACGUUCUAAACAUUCUAAAAGUGUUUAAAUGCUGGAAGCAGAAAUUAAUGAGCCUUUCUAUUGGGAGUUUUGAUGACAGUGAUGCUGAGAGAGAAAGGAAGAGUGGAGAUCCUGCUCAUCAGAUUUCAGAAGUAUCAAGGACUGACUAGUGGGGGAUUCAUUAAGGCAACUCCACAUAGUUAAAAGGGAGGUUUAUUUUGGGGUAGCUUACAACAAGUAAAGGGAUAGGUUUCAGGAUCCGAGAUAGGUGAAGUGCAGCCCAGCGGUGUUCUCUGGAGAACUCUGCUCAGUCUACCAUCCAGCAUCCAGGAUCACCAGGAACCAAGAGAGCCGGCACACCCAGAUCUCAGGUCUUAAGGGCUCCCAUCUUGGCCCUGCCUCAGGGGCAGGUCAUAGGUAGGCAUAACAGUUAUUGGAAGCCUCACUGGGGGGAGUACUUCCAGGUCAAAGCUGGAACAGCUACCCACUACAACUGACUAUAUCAGGAACUGGGCUAAGGCUCAUUUAUUGUGAUAGUUUGACCAAGUAUCUAGCUUCAUUCUUCCACUGCACUGAGUUUGAAAGAAGUUGUACGUGAAGCUAAUCUGCUCACUUGCUUAACAAAAGAAAGAUGGGAGGGGAACUUCAAGCUUCCAAUAAGGAUAGUACAGAUAGCAGUGCACCUGUAACUGUUGAAGAUAUUGAUGCCAUUAAAGAGAAACCUGUCACUCCGCCCCACGACAACAUGAAAGUGUUUCCUCAGGGUUAGCACACAGAUGCUGAUAGAAAUUUAGUCUAAGGCAUACACGCAGGCUACACCUUCAGCUGGGAGUCGAACUCGGCAGUGACGUUGUCUACACAGUACCGGUUUUGAAGACAGAGAUACAAUAUUGAGGUCAUGGAUAGCAGAUGAGGCCAAUCACUUGUGUGGCAGGGUUUGACUCUCUUCUGUGAGGCACUGAACAGAUAUUAUGUGAAACUGUGAAAGUGAAGCCCAAACUGCCAUGGAAACCCCUGGAUAUUGGAGAGACUAGGACCACAGAACAGCUGCUAAGGAAGGCUACAGGUAUAGAGUGGAGCUGGCCUAAUCCUAAGAGAGAAUCUGUAUGCUGCACGCAUCAGAGAUGAGGGAGUGGACUACCCAAUCCUUUUGGCAUCCACUUGGUCACAUCACAAAUCUGAGAUACUAGAUGUGAAGCUGUAGGAUUUAGUGUUUACCCUGCUGGAUUUGGGUGGUGUUUUGCUUUGAUAGUUUCUUGUUGUGCACUGAUUAGCCAAUUUAUGUUGUAACAGGAAUGCUUGCUCUGUGCCAUUGUAUCCUAGAGGUAUGUAACUUGUUUUUUCAUUUUGUGAGAGCACACGGUUAAGAGGAGGGACUUUUAAAGAGCUGUAGCUGUUAAUAAAAUGACUAUGGGAAUAGCUGAA